rnacentral:ncRNA from 1 species
UUCUUUUACAUGGGGUGGCCUUUUCCGAAAGGUCUGAGAUCAUACCCGUUGAACCUGAUCUGGGUAAUACCAGCGAAGGGAGAAGAUGGCACCGGACG